rnacentral:rRNA from 1 species
AUGUGUGAUCAAAUAUUUGAUUUCUUGCUGAAAAAUAAUUACAUUAAAGUUCUUGAUCACCAUGUGAAGCCAUCAAUCCAAGGACAAAUGUAUUGCAAGUUGCAUGAUUCGUCUAAGCAUAAUUUUGAGGAUUGCAACAUGUUUCGUCAAAUAGUUAAAUCGGCCAUUGAUAAAGUACGAUUAAAAUUUGUUGAAACACCAAGGGAUGACCAGUCUAUUCUGAUUGGUCCUAAUGGAAAAAGGUUUUUGAAUCGACUACUUCAAGACGAUUUCUUUAAAGAUGAGAAGGUAAAAACUACAGGUGAUGGGAUCAAGUUUUCAAGUAAAAAAGUUGCUCAAGAGCACAAUAAAAAUAUUCUUGAAGGCAUGGGUUCUAUCGAAGAUACAAUGAAGACGCCAAGGACUGGGGGGCAACAAGAAAAUCCAAAGAUCGAUGCAAGUCAAGACAAAGGAGAUAAAUGCCGCAAUAAGCACAAGUGCAAGAAAUCCAAGGUCACUUUUGCACAAUUAUUAGAUAAAUAUCAAAAGAAGAGUGAAGAGAAAAGUGCUUAUCGGCCAAUUAAUGGAAAAGCAUCAAGAUCACCCCCUAGGCGCAAACCCGAGGAUUGGUAUUGGCAAAAUGAGAAUUCUGCGGUAUAUUCGUAUCCAUAUUUUGUGCCGCCAAUGCCAAUGUCAUGGAUACCUUCCUAUGAUCAUGUAAAUCCAUAUCCAUCGUGGGACAAGUAUGAUACAAGGGCGCAUUCUUCAUCUUAUUUUAGAACAUCUCACAAACAUUAUGCAGCUCCAAAAAGAUCAACAUUUGAACAAUCACAUGUCAAAGACCGUUUCAAUCAUAAGGAAUCGGUCCGGAGCUCAAGGAACAAGAAAGAGGUGGUCAAACAAAUUUAUCGUGUUAAAAAAGAUGGCCGUAAGAGUGCUACUUCAGAUUUGAUCUCAAAUGAGAAGGAGCCAAUUAAAGUAUUGACAUUGUCUACUAAUGGCGAUGAGGCAAGUCAAUCAAGUACCAAAUCUGAAGAUAAGAAGUCGAGAGUGCACAUGAUAAAACAAGAAUUGCCAUUGCUUCAAACAAAAUCACAGCCAGGGUGCCCACUCGGCUUAUCAUAUUGGCAAAAGAAGAAAUUACAAAAACUUAGUGCACAAGAACUUGAAGAAAGGAAUAUGGCAUGGGUUUCCAAAGGAAGUAUUCAAAAUAAGAAUUAUGUGCAAGCUUCCUUUACAAGCAGUGCGGCAAAUGUGAAGAAGGAAAAGAGUGAAAACUAUGAAGGACCAAGCCGAAUGUUUCAACAUCUUCGGUCCACACAUUAUCCAUUUUCUUCAACAAUGUCGUUGAUGCCUAUGCCAUGUAAUUUCUCAUCAUGUAUGAUUGGUUAUCCUUAA